rnacentral:rRNA from 1 species
CCUACGGGAGGCAGCAGUGAGGAAUAUUGGUCAAUGGACGAGAGUCUGAACCAGCCAAGUAGCGUGAAGGAUGACUGCCCUAUGGGUUGUAAACUUCUUUUAUAUGGGAAUAAAAUGUUCCACGUGUGGGAUUUUGUAUGUACCAUAUGAAUAAGGAUCGGCUAACUCCGUGCCAGCAGCCGCGGUAAUACGGAGGAUCCGAGCGUUAUCCGGAUUGAUUGGGUUUAAAGGGAGCGUAGGUGGAGUGUUAAGUCAGUUGUGAAAGUUUGCGGCUCAACCGUAAAAUUGCAGUUGAAACUGGCAGUCUUGAGUACAGUAGAGGUGGGCGGAAUUCGUGGUGUAGCGGUGAAAUGCUUAGAUAUCACGAAGAACUCCGAUUGCGAAGGCAGCUCACUGGACUGCAACUGACACUGAGGCUCGAAAGUGUGGGUAUCAAACAGGAUUAGAUACCCGAGUAGUC